GGGCAUGUAGUUCAGUGGUAGAACGCCAUUCUGAUAAAAUGGAGGUCGAAGGUUCGAUUCCUUCCAUGCCCACAA
rnacentral:tRNA from 1 species